AUGUGUUGUGAUUGUUUAACUUCUAACAUAAAAAUAAUGAUUUCUUUUUCUCUCUUAUACAGACUUCAAAUCGUGGCAUACAACAAAACUCAUUCUCUUAUCUUCUUCGUGAAACGGAAAAGCUGUCUCUUCCACCGAUCUUCCAACGCCGCCACCGUUCAUCAUCUCGACAUUUCACCUCAUUCAUUCUAUUCUCUCUUGUCUCUGUCCCUUUGUAUCGCAACUCCAUCUUCUUCUCUUCAUCACACCGCCGCGGUUCAUGAUUCGUGCAAAAGGAAUAUGAUGAUGCACGAAACUCUCGACUUCACCGGACUAUAUGUUAUGAUAUGA